AUACGAAGGGGGGCUAGCGUUGCCCGGAAUGACUGGGCGUAAAGGGCGUGUAGGCGGUUUACACAGUCAGAUGUGAAAUCCCCGGGCUUAACCUGGGAGCUGCAUUUGAUACGUGUAGACUAGAGUGUGAGAGAGGGUUGUGGAAUUCCCAGUGUAGAGGUGAAAUUCGUAGAUAUUGGGAAGAACACCGGUGGCGAAGGCGGCAACCUGGCUCAUGACUGACGCUGAGGCUCGAAAGUAUGGGUAGC
rnacentral:rRNA from 1 species